rnacentral:rRNA from 1 species
UACGUAGGGGCCGAGCGUUGUCCGGAGUUAUUGGGCGUAAAGCGCGCGCAGGCGGCCUCGCGCGCCCGACGUGAAAGCCCCCGGCUUAACCGGGGAGGGUCGUUGGGGACGGCGGGGCUUGAGGGCGGGAGAGGGUGGUGGAAUUCCCGGUGUAGUGGUGAAAUGCGUAGAGAUCGGGAGGAACACCCGUGGCGAAGGCGGCCACCUGGGCCGACCCUGACGCUGGGGCGCGAAGGCGUGGGGAGCGAACGGG